GGCGGACUUCAGUCCCCAGGAUGAUGCCUGCCAAGGGAGCAAAGAACCGCAAACUCAAACCACGGAGCCGCUCUCCACACCCACCCAGGAACCUCAAGCUGGUCUGGGAGGCUCCAAGGACCCGGUCGACAAGGCGCAAGGCGCUAAGCAUCAGAGCAGCAUAAGACGCCCCCUGAGCAUGCGCACAAGCCCUGUUGCGCAGCGCUGCUGCCUGAGGCGGAACUUCCUCCCUACCGCCAAGAAAACGGAAGUAGACUCGUUUUUUUCACCGGAAGGAGAAAUAGCGACCGAGAGCCUGACACCUGAGGCUGGCGGCUUUUGUCUCUCAAAGUUGGGACAGUAUUUGGCCACCUUGUGCGGCGGGUGACUAUGGUGUCCCGGUAUGUAGCUGACGUGGCAGGCGUCCCAGGAAUGGGAGAAGAGAUGGAAAUCUGUAUUAUCUGAAAGCAGAGAGCAGUUGUUUCCGUGCUCGGAUCAUUCAGAGAUUAUGCAGCCACCACCAUGCCUUAGACGUGUGUAAUUCAAAUGGAGAAGACACAAGCCAGUGGUCGCAAUAUCAACCCUUGAGUGUUCUGUAAACGAUUUAUCAGAGGUUGCAGCGGAACAUGGCCAUGAGGUAAACCCUGCCCCUGGUUGAAAUUUAGUUUCAUCAGCUUCUACAUGGGAUUGUAAGAACUUGGAGUAUGUCACGAAACCCAGUAGGGUUUCCUUUUUUUUUUUCAAGA